GCCGCUCCUGCUCCUGAUGUUGUGGCUGUUGUUCCGGGAGCCGCAGCCUCCGCCAUUACUGUUUAUCCCACACAGCAAUGGCCCCGGAACUUCCGGGAUCACAUAGUUCCGGUCCGGCUGAGGGGAGAAGGCGGCGAUGGGAGGGGAACGAGGCCCGGGCGCCCGCUGGGUCCGCGCGAGCCCCGUGUCGCGUCUCGGUGAGCUCUGGCCACUAGGACCGCGGGCCCCGGGCGUGUGCACCCGCGGCCCGCCCCCGACGUCGCUGAUUGGUGGAGCUGACGUCUCCGCAGAGAAAGGGCGGGGCUCCGCCGGCUCCAUCCAGAUGAGGAUAACAGCAGACCCUCCUUCACUGGGAUUACUGAGAGUUGUCAGAAUCAAAAUAGAGAUGUCGAGCCCUGUAUCAAAUAAAGCUAGGAGGGCAUGAAGAAGGAGGCUACAGGCAUAGAUGCCUGAUAAAAACUGUCACUAAGCACUGCCGGAACCACAACCUUGCACCUGAAAAAGGUAUUUCUGCAAGGAUGCCUGUCCCAACAACUACUUGGUUCAGCCUUGGACUGUUGCCUGCCUUAUUAUUGAACGUGUAACCAAAGAUUAUUUCAAGAAAAUUGUGUGAUCCUUA